rnacentral:rRNA from 1 species
UACGGAGGGUGCAAGCGUUGUCCGGAAUCACUGGGCGUAAAGGGCGCGUAGGCGGCCCGGUAAGUAGGGGGUGAAAUCCUGCGGCUUAACCGCAGGGCUGCCUUCUAAACUGUCGGGCUCGAGCACGGUAGAGGCAGAUGGAAUUCCCGGUGUAGCGGUGGAAUGCGUAGAGAUCGGGAAGAACAUCAGUGGCGAAGGCGGUCUGCUGGGCCGUUGC